rnacentral:rRNA from 1 species
AUUGAACGCUGGCGGCAUGCCUCACACAUGCAAGUCGAGCGGAGCGGCGGAAGGGUGAGUAAUGCCUAGGACUCUGCCUGGUAGUUGGGGAUAACGUCCGGAAACGGGCGCUUAUCCCGCAUCCUAUCAGCUGGGCCUAGGUCGGAUUAGCUAGGUGGUGGGGUAACGGCCUACCAAGGCGACGAUCCGUAACUGGUCUGAGAGGCUGAUCAGUCACACUGGAACGGAGACACGGUCCAGACGCCUACGGGAGGCAGCAGGGGGGAAUAUGGGACAAUGGGCGAAAGCCUGAUCGAGCCAGGCCGUGUGUGUGAAGAAGGGAGUCGGAUGGUAAAGCAGUUGAAGUUGGGAGGCGUUACCGACAGAAUAAGCACCGGCUAACUACGUGCCAGCAGUCGCGGUAAUAC